rnacentral:rRNA from 1 species
UACGAAGGGUGCUAGCGUUGUUCGGAAUUACUGGGCGUAAAGCGCGCGUAGGCGGUCGUGUAAGUCGGGAGUGAAAUCCCAGGGCUCAACCCUGGAAUGGCUUCCGAAACUGCAUGACUGGAGUAUGGUAGGGGAUAGCGGAAUUCCACGUGUAGGAGUGAAAUCCGUAGAUAUGUGGAGGAACACCGGUGGCGAAGGCGGCUAUCUGGGCCAUUACUGACGCUAAGGCGCGAAAGCGUGGGGAGCAAACAGG